rnacentral:rRNA from 1 species
UACGUAGGGUGCAAGCGUUAAUCGGAAUUACUGGGCGUAAAGCGUGCGCAGGCGGUGAUGUAAGACCGAUGUGAAAUCCCCGGGCUUAACCUGGGAACUGCAUUGGUGACUGCAUUGCUGGAGUAUGGCAGAGGGGGGUGGAAUUCCACGUGUAGCAGUGAAAUGCGUAGAGAUGUGGAGGAACACCGAUGGCGAAGGCAGCCCCCUGGGCCAAUACUGACGCUCAUGCACGAAAGCGUGGGGAGCAAGCAGG